rnacentral:rRNA from 1 species
UGCGUAGGCGGGAGAUUAAGUCAGUGGUGAAAUCCUACAGCUUAACUGUAGAACUGCCAUUGAUACUGGUUUUCUUGAGUAUAGUUGAAGUGGGCGGAAUGUGUAUUGUAGCGGUGAAAUGCUUAGAUAUUACACAGAACACCUAUUGCGAAGGCAGCUCACUAAACUAAUACUGACGCUGAGGCACGAAAGCGUGGGGACUAACAGGAUUAGAUACCCUGGUAGUCC